UACGAAGGGGGGCUAGCGUUGCUCGGAAUGACUGGGCGUAAAGGGCGCGUAGGCGGCUCAUACAGUCAGAUGUGAAAUUCCUGGGCUUAACCUGGGGGCUGCAUUUGAUACGUGUGGGCUUGAGUGGGGAAGAGGGUCGUGGAAUUCCCAGUGUAGAGGUGAAAUUCGUAGAUAUUGGGAAGAACACCGGUGGCGAAGGCGGCGACCUGGUCCUUGACUGACGCUGAGGCGCGAAAGCGUGGGGGAGCAAACAGG
rnacentral:rRNA from 1 species